rnacentral:rRNA from 1 species
UACGUAGGGUGCAAGCGUUAAUCGGAAUUACUGGGCGUAAAGCGUGCGCAGGCGGUUAUGCAAGACAGAUGUGAAAUCCCCGGGCUCAACCUGGGAACUGCAUUUGUGACUGCAUGGCUGGAGUGCGGCAGAGGGGGAUAGAAUUCCGCGUGUAGCAGUGAAAUGCGUAGAUAUGCGGAGGAACACCGAUGGCGAAGGCAAUCCCCUGGGCCUGCACUGACGCUCAUGCACGAAAGCGUGGGGAGCAAACAGG